rnacentral:lncRNA from 1 species
AUAUAUAUAUAUAUAUAUAUAAGCGUAUAGGAAUUCCGACAAUGACAGAUGGAAUCUAAAAAAAAUAAAAUAAUAUUCUUUACAAAUGGUUAUGAUUAAUUUAUUAAAAAUAUCUCAAAUAAAAUGAACAGUUAUAAUUAAUCUAUUAAAAAGCAUCAUUCCUAUCCAUUUAUAAAUUCAAUUCUAGUGACGAUUCUAAUCAAUUUGUUAAAAAAUAUCUCAAAUAAAAACAAACGGUUAUGAUCAAAAUUAAAAAUAUCUCAAAUAUCUAUUCAUCUAUUUUACAUUAAAAUUAAAAUUUGAGUUUAAAUUAUGAAUUAAAUUUAAUUUGUACCAAAUUUGAAUUAACAAUUAAUUUUUUUAUUACAGUGGAUCAAAAUUAAAUUUUUAAAUUUUAAAGUAAAUGUGAAUUAAAUUUUGAUGCUUUUAGUUUAAAAUACAUAUUUAAAUUUAAUUCAUCAAAAAUUAAAAAGUAUAUAAAAAUGUUCGAUGUAUAUAAAAAAAAAAGAACAAUGUAGGAUAUUGUAAAUAUUUUCUAAUAAAAUAUAACAUAUAAUUUAUAAAUAUAAUUUUUAUUGUAAAAUUGUGGAUAUAUUAUAUAUAUAUAAUGUACAAAUUUAUAUUGAUUUGAAAUAAAUUAUAAUAAUUGUUACGUGCAUUUGUACGUACAUUCAACUAGUAUAUAUAUAAGCGUAUAGGAAUUCUGACAAUGACAGACGGAAUCUAAAAAGGAAUAAAAGAAUAUUUUAUAUAUUUCCUACGAACGAGUACGAACGGGUAUGAUUACUUAAUUAAAAAAAUCUCAAAUAAAAACGAAUGGUUAUGAUUAACCCAUUAAAAAAUAGCAUUCUUAUCCAUUUAUAAAAAAAUCCAAAAAGGAAUAAAAAAAUAUUCCCUAUAUUUUCUACGAACAUGUAUGAUCAAUUAAUUAAAAAAAUCUCAAAUAAGAAUGAACGGUUAUGAUUAAUCUAACAUUCUUAUCCAUCUAUAAAUCAAAUCCUACGAAUGGUUGUGUCAAUUAAAAAUGAACGGUUAACUUAAUUAAAAAAAUCUCAAAUAAGAACAAAUGGUAUGAUUAAUCUGUUAAAAAAUAGCAUUAUUAUCCAAAAAUUUUAAUUAUAGUGGAUGAAAUGUAAAUUUUAAAUUUCAAAAUAAAUAUGAAUUAAAUUUUUAUGAGUAUAUAGGAAUUCCGACAAUGACAGACGGAAUCAAAAAAGGAAUAAAAGAAUAUUUUAUAUAUUUCCUACGAACGAGUACGAACGGGUAUGAUCACUUAAUUAAAAAAAUUUCAAAUAAAAAUGAACUGUUAUGAUUAACUUAUUAAAAAAUAGGAUUCUUAUCCAUUUAUAAAGAAAUCCAAAAAGGAAUAAAAGAAUAUUCCCUAUAUUUUCUACGAACAGGUAUGAUCACUUAAUUAAAAUAAUCUCAAAUAAGAAUGAAUGGUUAUGAUUAAUCUAGCAUUCUUAUCCAUCUAUAAAUCAAAUCCUACGAAUGGUUGUGUCAAUUAAAAAUGAAUGGUUCACUUAAUUAAAAAAAUCUCAAAUAAGAACAAACGGUAUGAUUAAUCUGUUAAAAAAUAGCAUUAUUAUCCAAAAAUUUAAUUAUAGUGGAUGAAAAUUAAAUUUUAAAUUUCAAAAUAAAUAUGAAUUGAGACGAGAUUUGUGGUUUUUGGCCUUUCGCCUAUUCACCCCCCUCUAGGUGAUAGAUACAAUCUAGAUAGAUCCUUGGGCUCCUCAAAACUUUCAUGCUAGUAAUAGCACGAAGCACUUGGUGCUAUCAAGUUUUCCCCCGUUAGAUCUACCUUUUGAUCAUUUUCACCCGUUAGAUCAUACUACUCAACCAACCACUCACUCAACCCUAGGAGGCCCACAUCAUCCUAACUGCACCUCUCUUAAUCCAAUGACCAAAAACUUAGUAGCACCAAUGAUUUGGUGCUAUUAAUAGUAUAUUAGCCUAGUUAUAUAUAUAUAUAUAGUUGAGCUAGAAUACUAUCGAUAGCAAACCGACUCUUUUGCCACCCAUUUGUUUUUGAUGAUGGGGCCUCCAAAUCGACGAUCGGCACCGUUGAACAUGAUUUAUACCACUUGAAGUGUUUAGAAAUCAAAUUUCAAAUCUUUUCGACAUCAUUUGCCUAAUGAUCAAAGAGUUUCAAAAUUUGUAAUUUUAAUGGUCGAUAUGAGACGUUUUCUCGUUUAACGGUGUAAAGAUAUCCAAAUCAAUUGAAUUUUUGUUAGAAAAUUCUUUAAACUAUUUAAAACAAGAUCUAUACUCUUGAUCUUGAUUACAAGACUCCUAUCAUCAUUUUUUUAAGAAUAUUCAUUUUCAGCCGUUCAUUUUUGUGCCCAUUUGAUGGAUAAGAUAAUAAUAUUGAAAAUGUAUGAAAUUUGAUUUCUAAAUACUUCAAAUGGUAUAAAUCAUGUUCAACGGUGUCGAUCGUCGAUUUGGAGGCUCCAUCAUCGAAAACAAAUAGGUGGCAAAAGAGCCGGUUUGCUAUCGAUAGUAUUCUAACUCAACUAUAGUAUAUAUAUAUAUAUAUAUACUAGUUGAGUGUACUUGCAAAUGCACGUAAUAAUUAUUUUAAUUUAUUUUAAAUCAAUAUAAAUUUGCACAUUAUAUUUAUUUAUAAAUUUAUAAUUUAUAAAUUCAUAUGUUAUAUU